GGUGGCUCAGUGGUAGAGUGCUUGCCUCACAUGCAUAAGGCCCUAGGUUCGAUUCCUCAGCACCA
rnacentral:tRNA from 1 species